rnacentral:rRNA from 1 species
GGGACACGUGGUAUCCUGUCUGAAUAUGGGGGGACCAUCCUCCAAGGCUAAAUACUCCUGACUGACCGAUAGUGAACCAGUACCGUGAGGGAAAGGCGAAAAGAACCCCGGCGAGGGGAGUGAAAAAGAACCUGAAACCGUGUACGUACAAGCAGUGGGAGCACCUUCGGGUGUGACUGCGUACCUUUUGUAUAAUGGGUCAGCGACUUAUAUUCUGUAGCAAGGUUAACCGUAUAGGGGAGCCGCAGGGAAACCGAGUCUUAACUGGGCGUUAAGUUGCAGGGUAUAGACCCGAAACCCGGUGAUCUAGCCAUGGGCAGGUUGAAGGUUGGGUAACACUAACUGGAGGACCGAACCGACUAAUGUUGAAAAAUUAGCGGAUGACUUGUGGCUGGGGGUGAAAGGCCAAUCAAACCGGGAGAUAGCUGGUUCUCCCCGAAAGCUAUUUAGGUAGCGCCUCGUGAAUUCAUCUUCGGGGGUAGAGCACUGUUUCGGCUAGGGGGUCAUCCCGACUUACCAACCCGAUGCAAACUACGAAUACCGAAGAAUGUUAUCACGGGAGACACACGGCGGGUGCUAACGUCCGUCGUGAAGAGGGAAACAACCCAGACCGCCAGCUAAGGUCCCAAAGUCAUGGUUAAGUGGGAAACGAUGUGGGAAGGCACAGACAGCCAGGAUGUUGGCUUAGAAGCAGCCAUCAUUUAAAGAAAGCGUAAUAGCUCACUGGUCGAGUCGGCCUGCGCGGAAGAUGUAACGGGGCUAAACCAUGCACCGAAGCUGCGGCAGCGACACUAUGUGUUGUUGGGUAGGGGAGCGUUCUGUAAGCCUGCGAAGGUGUGCUGUGAGGCA